AGCAGAGUAGCCUAGUGGAAAGAGCCACAGGCCUGGGAAACAGAGGAGCUGGGUUCUAAUCCCGGCUCUGCUU
rnacentral:tRNA from 1 species